rnacentral:lncRNA from 1 species
CAAGAAUAGAAUUAAAGUAACAGGAUACAAGUCAGAAUUGCAUCAGAGGGGGCCUCAGCGUGUACCAUUCUCAUCAAUUGAUCUGAGAGGGCUCAGCUCAUUGUGUGACACUCCUGAAAGGUAACCUUGGGAUGUAUAGAAGAACAGACUGAUCAAGUCCUCGAGAGCCGACUAGAGCAAAUUCUCACAAUGGCAUGGAGUAGAGGCACUUAUUGAGCACAUUCAGACUUGCCAAUAAAAGCUGAUCAGCUAAUGCCUCAGCCGAAAAGAGAAGAGGGCUGGACUUCUACAAGCCAGGGAAGGAGUAGAAAGGAAAUAUCAUGCCAAAACACAUGGAGCAGAGAGAGCCAGAUGAUUAGUAAAAGCACCUUAAAUAUCCGCUUGUCUAACAAGUGAAGUGGUUUCUGCUCAUUGCACUUGAAGUUUCCUCCAUAGCCCCAGAGCGCACUUUGAAACAGGGCAUGUGCUGUGCGAAUGAGGGAAGAUGAAUAGCAAUGUAGGCAGCUCUUUGGCUGUCUUCCUCCGCCUACACUGUACUGCUUGAGAUGUAACUAGAAGUCAUUAUUUGGUUGGCUUGUUCUUUAUAGAAUUCACUGCUUUACUAUCCAACAUUUUCUCUUGAGCUUUGCAAACUUUAUCUCCAAGGCAGACUCUAUUGUGUCCCACCUGACUGGCAAGAAAGACGCAACAAACCGGAAUCUUCCGCGGCAAAAGCUUUAUUGCUUACUUCUUCAGGAAGACCCCGAACCGGAAAAUGGCGCCGCUUUUAUAACCCACAGUGUGACGUUUUAGCACCUGAUAUGGCGUGACAGCUCCUGAUUCGUUGCUCGCACAUCACCCCAUUAUUACACCCCGAGAAUGGGAGUGACUAGGAGUGAGUUCACUCUCGCACCUGCAUACAAGGCUUGUUUACUAGUUAGGCACAGCGGAGGCCAGCACCAUCUUAUAAUGGCGACUGUUCGCGGCACGGCUCUCCACAAGACUCUGCCAUCUCCAUGUGUUUUCCUAUCACCUCUAUUCCUUCUUCUAAUUUUAUUUUCCUUCUUCUAAUUUUUCUUUUCUUCAAAAUCUCAUUGUGGUUAUCAAUACCUUGCUUUCUUGUGCAUGAUUUGCGAUACGGUCUGAGUUAUUUUGAAUGAAGAACUAAAUGUGAGCUGACAGCAUGGUAAAGAAUUUUAUUUCAUGAACACAUGUGACAUAUGCA